UACGUAGGGGGGCAAGCGUUGUCCGGAUUUAUUGGGCGUAAAGAGCGUGUAGGCGGCCUGAAAGGUCAGCUGUGAAAACUCGAGGCUCAACCUCGAGACGUCGGUUGAAACCAUCUGGCUAGAGUCCGGAAGAGGAGUGUGGAAUUCCCGGUGUAGCGGUGAAAGUGCGCAGAUAUCGGGAAGAACACCCGUGGCGAAGGCGGCACUCGUGGGACGGUACUGGACGCAUGAGACGGCGAAAGCGUGGGGAGCGAACGAGG
rnacentral:rRNA from 1 species